UGUGUGUGUUUCACCACGGCCUGAUCACGAGUUGGACUCACAAUCGCCGGCAAGUACCCUCCCGAUUAGAGCAACUGCAAGGCUCAUUAGUCGAUCUCUGGGUACUGCCAGGGACAGUAACCACUCCUUGUCAACAGAAAAAUCACAGCCUGAGUGGGGCUCGAACCUCCACCUGUCAGGCCACAAAGCCUGGCAGCACAGGUUUUAACCAAUGAGCUACAAAGUGGUGUGUGUGUGUGUGUGUGUGUGUGUGUGUGUGUAGUGUCAUAAUUUAAAAUUUGGAAGGAACAGGUCUUAUCUGGAUUAGGAGCAGUGUCCUUAACCUCCCUGAAUUGUUUUUGUCUCUUCUUCCUGUUCAUGGUUCUUUCUUUGGGUAGCCAGGGAAUUUAUCCUCUCGGGUGAGCCUAUCCUCAGUGAUGAGUGUAGGGCAAAGUCACUGUGACCCCUUCAUCUCAAAGGAGGAAGGGCUCCCUAGCCCCUCUUUUUGACUUGGGGUGACUGGGGAGGUGCAAAAGUAGCACCUGCCCACAGAACCAGGCCUGGAAUUAAUGUUCAGAGGGCUCUGUGUGUGGGCUCCUGGAAAGUCUUAUCCCUCUAGAAGAAUCAUCGACUGCUUUACCUAUCAAAUUAACUCAGAAGGCUGAAGGUGGAUAUAGAGGGUUCCACCUCGGGAAUGAAGGACCUGGCAUGUGCUCACUGAGUAUGCAGGGACAAUUUCAAAUUGGUAUUAUGUACUCUGUCUGGUCAGGGCAGUUAAGGUAGAGCUCUGCUACUGGUAACAUGUAACCCAGUACAACCAGCCGCAUGGUCGGGUAGUCGGCGACUAAACCGACGACCCCACUGUUUUUUUUUUUGGACCAGUGAGGAGGGUGUGCUGGACCCCCAGGUGGAUUAAAAACAAGACCAUUCUAAGGGCAGAUGAACUCGUUUAUCAGUCAUUGGCCAUCCAGUCCCAGCUAUGGGUGAAAUAGUGGGUGGUAAACCUCAUAACCCCCUGCUGCCUUGUAGGGUUUGCCUUUUAGGCAAAGGCUAGGGCCACCACUUAAAAUAGGUGGUUGGGGUUAGGAAGGGUAUGCACUGUAAAAUUUUGCUCCAAAAUUGAUAUUGCUAGAAACCAGAAUAUGGUCCCUAGUACCCAGCAGCCCUUGAGUAGGCAGGGAGUGCGAAGAAUCUCCACACUUAGCUUUAGAAUGGGGACAGUGAACGUGGGAACGAUGAGAGGAAGAAGCUGGGAGGUGGUGGAGAUGCUGGGUAGGAGAAAAGUUGACAUUUGUUGUGUGCAGGAAGUGCAAUUUAAGAGUGAAGGCAGCAGAAUGAUAGAAAGUGGGGAAGAAAAGUACAAGAUGUGGUGGAAAGGGGAGAGUUGGAGGGGUGGGGAUGAUGGUGAGAGAGGAGCAAAUAGAGGAUGUAAUAGAAGUGAGGAAAAGGUAUAUGUCAGGAAUCUUGCUGAGGAUGUUGAGAACUAUCUCAAUGCAACUGACCUCCAACCAGUCAAAUCUUCUCUGCCCCAGGCUAGCCAUCCAGUCAGCUUAAAUAGCACUUGAGUAGCAGCUUGACAAGAAACAGGGAAAAGUUUGAGCUGAUGGUGCAUUCCAUGGUGCAAUGAUGUCAUUUGAGACAGGGGCAACACAAAGCUAUAUGCCUUAAAGAUAUAAGUGUUUAGCAUACAGUAUUGUAGGCUCUUCUGCACUACAUACUACUCAACUUCCCAUUGAAACAACCGUUUCAUCACACUUACCACCCAGUAGAAACAAUUGUUUUAGUGCUAUAUGCACUUAACUGUGGUAUAAAAAUAAUCGUAAAGGGAGGAAUUUCAGUAACUGCAAAAUUGUUCUUAGGGUUUGUAUUCUCUUAGGUACAUUUGUAGUCCAUUCACUUCAGCUGAAUCUCUCUCAACAGUGGCUGGGUCCCUAGCUGAGUAAGUAUGGAUGCUACUGAUUGGCUGAUGGAGGGCAAGGUGUCCGACACCUCCAUCGCCCAAUACAAUCUGAUAGGCUCAGAAAAUAUUCAUAUUUCUUUACUUACCUCAUCUAUUACAUAAGAUAGCAAAUUUUGACAUCAUUGGAUUUAGCAGUGAUUGUUACAGUAAAAUAAUUUAUAAAAUUCGAUAGGGUAAAAACAAAGUAAUUACAGUGAAUAUAUUUCAGAGGUAUAACAUUUAAUGUUUACUCCACUUUUCAUCAUGUCCAUGACAACAAAUUUGCCUGGGCAGUUGACGUGCAGCCCACCUAGCUGUUCAUCCUUUCUUUCUGGAUGUUCUAUAAAUGAGUACCUGGGGAAACCUGGGGAAGGUAAACUGUGAAUGUCCUAACCUGGAUGUUGCACUGACCCUCUGUCAGGUUCAUGGUUCUCUCCCACCUCGCUUUUGUGGACCUCGAUAUUUAUCACGAAUUUCAACUAUUAAACUUUUUUUUUUGCCUUUCCAGUAUGUGCGGAUAUUUACUGAACAAGUUUGGUAGUAGCCUGGCUGACCAUGUACACACAUGUCAGUCAGCAUAAUGUUCAGUGUCCAAUGUGUAAUUGUUUUAAUUCCCCAGUACGAGUGUAAUAUUUGUGAUGAAUGUAUGUGCACAAGCAUACAAACUUCCAUCUAAUAUAACAAACAAGCUUUGUAUAUACAGAUGUAGUCAGAAAUAUAAUGAAAGUUCAUUACAUACCAAAAGUUGAGAUCCCUAGGAUGUAAUGGAUUUUCAGAUGUUGCAUCACCCCCCUCUCCUCCAAAUGAUGCAAAGGUCAAAAUCAGGUGUUGCAAGCCAUCUGCACUUGCUUGGUUGGAGAAAUGCCCUUCCCAGCGGUGAAACCAGUAACUGUUGGAGAGAAGGGAAGACAACUUUGAAAAGCUGUGAAUCCUACUUACAAUGUAUCUAGAAGACCUCAAAUAUACUUAAAGAACACUAA